GAGACUUGGACUUGGAAAUGAACAAAAAUGGAGUUAUAGUGACAAAGAUUUCUUCGGAUUUGUUGUCUAUCUCUGAUUGAUAAUUUAGCUUUGAUUCCAUUCUUCAUUCUGAUUUAAAUCAGGUUAAGUGAAAUUCCUAUGCAUUUGGAAUUUAAAUUCAUUGUUUGUUGUUGCUGUCCUUGAAUCCCCAAUCAAAAACUUUUUGUAGAUUAUGUUGAUCACUGCAUUAUAUUGUUGAUCGUUGCAUGUCGAAUGGCUACAUGUGCAUGGUGUAAUGAUAGUCAUACAUGCUAAUUUCAGAUUUCAAUAAGUCUUUGAUAAUGAUCUACGUCUUUGUUUUAGUAAUAAUGUGAGUUUUUGGCAGCUUUACUAAGAUCUGCCCAUGUAAAAAAAACUCAUGUGAUGAAUUUUGGGAUACUGCUCCUCACUAUGGUGGCACAAAAGCUGUCUCUAGCAUGAUGUAGCAAAAUGAGCAGGUCUUAAUGAACAAGGUUAAAAGUUUGUUAGCAUUACAGAUUGGAUCAAAGACAGGUAAAAAAUGUGGAUGGAUCCAAUAUAAGGUAAAAGGGUGAUUAUAUGGAAAAAGAAUUGGGUGCUGUAAUUGGAAUGGUAAGGUUUUACAGAUUGACAAUAUUGUGAAAGUAUCUAAGCUGGGUUGUUUAUUUGUAUUUCUGGUGUUGUUAAUCGCUCUAUGGUGUUACCUUGCAUAGAUAACGAUUCUGACAAUGAUGUUGAUAUUACGGAGGAAGUGUUAUGGUGAAGAAGUCCUUUUAAGUUUUUCAUAGCUCACAGCACCAACUUUAAGUCAGAAAUAUUUAUUUCCAAUCACUCAAAACGUAAUGAGUAUAUUUGAUCAGCUUGCUUGAGGGGAGGAGUUGCAAGGCCAACACUUCUUAUGGUGGAGGUAAGGCGUCGGAAGGUCGAUGGGGUGAGGCUUUUGAUAUUUUUCUCCCCUCAGUAUAUAUUGUUUUAUGGGACUUUUGUGUUUCUUAGUGUCAAUUUAAAAAAUGGUACGUUAUAUCAGGGAAAACAUAGCAUCUAACAUUAUGGUAAAACAAUCCAUAAACUGAGAUCCUCAUCAGCACAAUAAAGAAGUGUCGGGAAUCAAAGAUAUAAUUUGUUUAAAAUAGGUAGCAGUCUGGAUAGUAACGCUCAGAAGUCUCGGUAAAAGUGGCUUGAUUUCGCACAGAUUUCAUCCUGAGAGCCACAUGAGAUUUCUAAUCGUUUAAGUCCAUCUCGAACCCACCCUAAGAGUGAAAUUUUUUUAUUUUGGAAAUAGAAUAAGUUUUCUCCAAUCAUAAAAUUUGAUCUGAAAAAUAUUUAAAACUACAUUAUUUUAACAUUUUAACUUAAAUUAAAUAAACUUUUUAUAUAUUCAUUCAUCCUCAAAAAUAGAAACAUAUAUAAAUUUUAUUAAAUAAAUAUUAAAUUUUAAUAUAUAAAUUAAAAAAAUAAAUUUAAAUAAUGAAAGUCAUUCUAAAAAUGAUAUUCAAAGAGCCCCCUAAAUUGAUGUCAAAACAAAUAAUCAUACAAACAUCAUGGUAUAAAAUUUUCAAAAUUAAAGACUGGGUUCAUUGACAUAGGAGUAGAAAUACUAAUAUACUUUAUAAUUCAUGUAUUACGUUUGUUUCACAUUUUUUUGUACUCAUUUUUGGGCUUAGAGUUUUUUGCAAGGUUCCAAAAGUUUUGGUGAGCGCUCAUAGACUUAACAAGCGACACAUCUUUGAUUCACACUUAAAGUACAAUAGCUAUGACUACAACAAAAAAGCUCAUUAUGAAAGAAGAUGUGCAAGACUUGAAUCAAGCUCUACAUUUAUAUGCCACAAUCAGGCUUUUUCUAUGGUUACUUUGUUUUUAGUGUAUUUUGUUAAUUUUUACCAUUGAAUGAAAGUGAUAAAAACUCAUCCAAUGGUGAAAAGUGAACAAAGUAAAUUUUAGGGUAAUUAAUCCUGAAAAUCACUGAACUUUCGAAUAUUUUCAUUUCAGUCACUAAACUAUUUUUUUUUUU